CUCAUUAUAUAAGUUAUCGUUUAUUUGAUAGUACCUUACUACAUGGAUAACCGUGGUAAUUCUAGAGCUAAUACAUGCUGAAAAUCCCGACUUCGGAAGGGAUGUAUUUAUUAGAUACAAAACCAAUGCCCUUCGGGGCUCUCUUGGUGAUUCAUGAUAACUUCUCGAAUCGCACGGCCCCGCGCCGGCGAUGGUUCAUUCAAAUUUCUUCCCUAUCAACUUUCGAUGCUACGGUAUUGUCCUAGCAUGGUUGCAACGGGUGACGGAGGGUUAGGGCUCGACCCCGGAGAAGGAGCCUKAGAAACGGCUACUACAUCCAAGGAAGGCAGCAGGCGCGCAAAUUACCCAAUCCCGACUCGGGGAGGUAGUGACGAUAAAUACCGAUACAGGGCUCUUUUGGGUCCUGUAAUUGGAAUKAGUACAAUUCAAAUCCCUUAACGAGGAACAAUUGGAGGGCAAGUCUKGUGCCAGCAGCCGCGGUAAUUCCAGCUCCAAUAGCGUAUAUUAAAGUUGUUGUGGUUAAAAAGCUCGUAGUAGAAGCUCGGGCUCCGGCCGACCGGUCCGCCUCACCGCGUGCACUGGUUCGGCCGGGCCUUCACCUUCUGCGGAACCGCAUCCCCUUCACUGGGGGUGUCGGGGAAACAGGACGUUUACUGUUAAAAAAUUAGAGUUCUCCAGGCAGGCCUAUUCUCGAAUAGAUUAGCAUKGAAUAAUGGAAUAGGACGUGUGGU
rnacentral:rRNA from 1 species